rnacentral:rRNA from 1 species
AGUCGAACGGUGAAGCAGAGCUUGCUCUGUGGAUCAGUGGCGAACGGGUGAGUAACACGUGAGCAAUCUGCCCCUGACUCUGGGAUAAGCGCUGGAAACGGCGUCUAAUACCGGAUACGAGCUGCGACCGCAUGGUCAGUAGCUGGAAAGAAUUUCGGUCAGGGAUGAGCUCGCGGCCUAUCAGCUUGUUGGUGAGGUAAUGGCUCACCAAGGCGUCGACGGGUAGCCGGCCUGAGAGGGUGACCGGCCACACUGGGACUGAGACACGGCCCAGACUCCUACGGGAGGCAGCAGUGGGGAAUAUUGCACAAUGGGCGAAAGCCUGAUGCAGCAACGCCGCGUGAGGGAUGACGGCCUUCGGGUUGUAAACCUCGUUUAGCAGGGAAGAAGCGAAAGUGACGGUACCUGCAGAAAAAGCGCCGGCUAACUACGUGCCAGCAGCCGCGGUAAUACGUAGGGCGCAAGCGUUAUCCGGAAUUAUUGGGCGUAAAGAGCUCGUAGGCGGUCUGUCGCGUCUGCUGUGAAAACCCGAGGCUCAACCUCGGGCCUGCAGUGGGUACGGGCAGACUAGAGUGCGGUAGGGGAGAUUGGAAUUCCUGGUGUAGCGGUGGAAUGCGCAGAUAUCAGGAGGAACACCGAUGGCGAAGGCAGAUCUCUGGGCCGUAACUGACGCUGAGGAGCGAAAGGGUGGGGAGCAAACAGGCUUAGAUACCCUGGUAGUCCACCCCGUAAACGUUGGGAACUAGUUGUCGGGUCCAUUCCACGGAUUCCGUGACGCAGCUAACGCAUUAAGUUCCCCGCCUGGGGAGUACGGCCGCAAGGCUAAAACUCAAAGGAAUUGACGGGGACCCGCACAAGCGGCGGAGCAUGCGGAUUAAUUCGAUGCAACGCGAAGAACCUUACCAAGGCUUGACAUAUAGAGGAAACGUCUGGAAACAGUCGCCCCGCAAGGUCUCUAUACAGGUGGUGCAUGGUUGUCGUCAGCUCGUGUCGUGAGAUGUUGGGUUAAGUCCCGCAACGAGCGCAACCCUCGUUCUAUGUUGCCAGCACGUAAUGGUGGGAACUCAUGGGAUACUGCCGGGGUCAACUCGGAGGAAGGUGGGGAUGACGUCAAAUCAUCAUGCCCCUUAUGUCUUGGGCUUCACGCAUGCUACAAUGGCCGGUACAAAGGGCUGCAAUACCGUGAGGUGGAGCGAAUCCCAAAAAGCCGGUCCCAGUUCGGAUUGAGGUCUGCAACUCGACCUCAUGAAGUCGGAGUCGCUAGUAAUCGCAGAUCAGCAACGCUGCGGUGAAUACGUUCCCGGGUCUUGUACACACCGCCCGUCAAGUCAUGAAAGUCGGUAACACCUGAAGCCGGUGGCCCAACCCUUGUGGAGGGAGCCGUCGAAGGUGGGAUC